UUGUUUUUCGGCGUUAGCUGAAUAAGCCAGCUUUUCACCCUGACUUGACCUUUGUAAGUGUCCAAUAAUACUCAAAUAAAAUUUCCCGCGGCUAGGUACGAAUGAAUACACUUCAUUUAUUCCAUUGGCUGAUUUGAGUAUAACACCAUAACAUUGGAAACAUAUCCGCGUCUUUGUAACACUGUUUUACUGCAUGAAACAAUUUUAUCUCUAAUAAAAAGGCUCAAUAGAUAGAACAGUUUUACAAUCAAUUUUCGACAUAAAUACAGUUUGUGCGUUCACCUUUUAUUUUCAGAGAAUUACCAGCGCAAAAGCGUUUAUACUAGUAGCUAUGUUGUCAUAUUUAGUACUUACUUGCAUUGCAUUUCAACCCGCGAGGUUUCGGGUCAACUCCCGGCCAUUUGUGAAAGUCAGAGUUUAUAUACAGUUCAUCACCGGAGUUCGCAGAAGGGGUUGCGAUCAUUGUGUUACACCGGUCUUACUGACAAUAACGUACUGACUGUAAUGCAUUGCAUUCCAAUCCGCAAGGUAUCAAGGUCAGUUUGCGGUCAGUUGCAGAAAUCUUUAUAUAAACGCCGUCUCGUAAACUUUGUGCACUUGAAGUCUGUUUUGAUCAGAAAGAUACUAAAUAAAGAUAUUCGGCGAUAUUAUUGUGGUAUGUCAAUCAUCGAUUUUUAAUAUGGUUUUAACAUUUGCAUGAUAAGGACCAAUUUUGAUAAAAAUAAUUAGAAAUAUUUAUCCAUUUAGACCAGUUUAUUAAGCAUGAGCACAAUAAUUCACUAUACUAUAAUUAUGCAAUUAAAUAAGAUUCGAGUAUUGCCGGCUGACCUAUAUGCAAUCGUUUAUUUUCAUGUUUCUUGUGUUUUUCUAUUCUUUAAAUAUAGAUAUCUGAGUAAUAAUAUCACAUAAAGCAAAAUAAGCCACGAAAUCUGGCGCAACACCCCGUAAUUGAUUUGCUUAUGAUGUAGCUAAGAACUGCGCAGAAAAAAGGCAUCCGCUACUUUUUAUCUCAUAGAGAUAACUUUUGAUCGUUCAUAAACAUCGACCACAAUCAACGCCGUAUAUCUUUUUAAAAGAUAUUUCUUGUUUAUAUUCACGUGACAGUGUUCAUAAUAAUGAAGUGUUCGGACAUAUAAGCAUUGUAUGUAUCUUUAAUACGAGACACACUUUGUGUACACUUGAAUACAUAUUCGAUCGACUCUACGUAACUCAACUGGACAUAGUUUUGAUCAAUAACAUUAGUAAUCUAUGGUAAUUUGACUAUCGCGUUAGUAGCAAAUACUAGGAAGUUUAACAUUAUUUAUGAGGUUAAUCGGAGGGUUUUAGUAAUAACUGAGAUGGACUUACUAUGCUGUUGCAUUCUCUGUAUUUCAUAUAUAAUUAAGGAUAAUAAUCGUUUAGUAUCUAUAUAAAAGAAAGAAUAUAACAAUUUUAGUGCCUUGGGUUAUGAAGUGACUUUGGAUUACAAGGUCUUUAUUGUUAUUACACAGCAAGCACAAAUCGCAUUACAGGUACCCCUACCGCAAGCGUAGCCAGAGAGGAUAGGCAGCUGCUGAUGCACCCCGUCAACCAUGUCCACUGGUGUCGGACUACAAUGGUACUGGAUACUGGGGAUCGUGUUCGCGGUCCUCGCCGCGUCGAGCGUCCUCUGCAUCAUCUGGUGCUGCUUCCGGCCGAAAGCCCCGAAGCCGGUCCCUGCGAAGCCGCUCCCCACCUUGCCUCCCCGGCGGCUGUACUCGCCCUCGUAUAGUAGGCAGUUGUCAAAGUAUUCAUUAGCGUCCCAAAAGUCGGAUAUGGAAAAACCUGACGCCCAAGUACCAUUUAUAGCUAUCGGGCAUUAGCCACACGUGGGACUGUGUUUAUCUUUAUCUAACCUAUUGUUUAAGCGAACUGUACGUCGUCGACUAGUAAACCGCAUAGGUGUAACGGAAGAAAUCAUGUCAUAUUUUCUUGAACUGAUGGUGUAGUCGUGCAAUGUUUCGUAUUUCGCAAUGUAACGCCACAUUUCACUAUGAAUUGCACUGCUUAAACACGAGUCAAAGUAGUCCGACAUGGAAUGUAAUAAUUAAGACUUGGUCAGGAAAAGCAUACGUGCACCUUCUUGCAAUGCUCAAAACUCAUGGUGGAAAAGUGUUUCGCCAGUUAAUCCUGCAGUUGUUAAAUAUGUGUGGUAAAAGUGAGAACACCUACUAGUAUUUUAAACGCGAGAUCAACGGAUAAACGUUUCUGGCGUGGACGUGUCGGCAUGUCUCAAAUCAUUCCUCGUCUUCGAUUUCCCCGUGCUCAAGAACGCCGGAUGUGUAUAAAAUCACGUGAUUUACAUGAAACAAUCUAUAGUGAAACCACUGUCAUGUCGAUCGGGAAAGCGCGUUACAUGGUGUUUGGGUAAUACUCAAUUUGUAUCAAUUUGCAAGUGUGCCAAAAAAUGACAAAAAUCAACAUUAAAUUUGUGUGUAGACAUGCGUUUUGCCACAACGAAGAGAAUCCAAGAAUCAUCCGCUAUUAGUUUCAGCUUUUUCCCAAUGAAUUAUCAUUGGAGUGUAGUUGAGUCCAAGUGACCAAAAGUCGGAUGCAGUUUACUCAGUUUUAAAAGUGCCAAAACUAAAAUGUCCAAGCUAUGUAAAAGCGUCGUAUAAAAUAUUUGUCGUACAUGUAUAUAACAUUUAAUUUACAUAUUUGUACUAAAUAUUCUUACAUAGUGCACGUUUUGGCUAAUAUUUUCUACCUUGAUCACGUGAACAUGUGAUAUUGUCAAGACUUGUACAUGUAACCAGGGUGCAGGUUCAACGGGGUUCACAGAGGUUUACACAAGGACAGAAUGUAAACACACCGUAAACAACUUUAUUUUUGCAAAUAUCUUAAGUUAUUGAGUUACAAUUUGUGCCGAUAUCUUAAGAUUUAAGAAAAUAUCCUUGAAUACGUCUGAAAUCGGUGCCAAAUUUUCACGUUGCGUGCAACAUAACCGUGUGCAUGAAUGCCGAACAUAUCAAAUUGCUGGCUAAGAACACAGGCUUAUUAAGUAAAGUAAUUCUGAUUUACUUCAUAUUGUCAUAAUUAGCAUAAAAACUGUCUUUUAUGCAAUAGUUGAAAUUCUUAGGACCUUUUUUAAAAGUUAUAUGGAAAUAAAACACACCACUUAACGGCGUAUUUAAAUCCAUUAACGUUUAAUUGUGAACCCCAUAAAGUCACGUGAUCCUGCACCCUGGUUACUUCGAGUCAUAGACCGCUGAAAUCGAUUUUAUACAAAAUAGAAUACAAAUAGUUAUCUAUUACAAAAACAUGUGCGCAAAUUAAAAGUAAUCUUUAACAUAAUUUCACAUAAACCUUUUUAAAUAUCGAAACCAAUUUUUCUUUUGUCAUUUUUAAAUGAAAUGAGUAAUUUACACGUGAAUCGGUCUAGAUUUAUUAUUUAAGUUUGCAGAUCCGAUUUCAACAUGCUCUUAAAAUGUAAAUCUGUCGAUUCAAUCUAUCGACCGUCAUAAUGUAACUUAUAUUACUACGCAGUAGACAGAUUAGAUCUUGUGUUGUGAAUAUAUUGAUGCAGUUGACGUGUAUAUCCUUUUGAACAUUUCAAUACUAGUAUAUCAUAUUAGCUAAAGACAAUACGCUUUGUUUGGUGAAUAUAUACGUGUGAUCUUACAAACUGAUAAAACGCAUGAAAUGUA